rnacentral:rRNA from 1 species
AACGAACGCUGGCGGCAUGCCUAACACAUGCAAGUCGAACGAAGGCUUCGGCCUUAGUGGCGCACGGGCGAGUAACGCGUGGGAAACUGCCUAUUGGUGGGGAAUAACGACGGGAAACUGUCGCUAAUACCGCAUAAGCCCUUCGGGGGAAAGAUUUAUCGCCGAUAGAUGUGCCCGCGUCCGAUUAGCUAGUCGGUGAGGUAAUGGCUCACCAAGGCGACGAUCGGUAGCUGGUCUGAGAGGAUGAUCAGCCACACUGGGACUGAGACACGGCCCAGACUCCUACGGGAGGCAGCAGUGGGGAAUAUUGGACAAUGGGCGAAAGCCUGAUCCAGCAAUGCCGCGUGAGUGAUGAAGGCCUUAGGGUUGUAAGGCUCUUUCGGGUGGGACGAUGAUGACGGUACCACCAGAAGAAGCCCCGGCUAACUUCGUGCCAGCAGCCGCGGUAA